rnacentral:rRNA from 1 species
CAGCACCUCAAGUUGUCAGGAUGAUUAUUGGGCCUAAAGCAUCCGUAGCCGGCUCUGUAAGUUUUCGGUUAAAUCUGUAUGCUCAACAUACAGGCUGCCGGGAAUACUGCAGAGCUAGGGAGUGGGAGAGGUAGACGGUACUCGGUAGGAAGGGGUAAAAUCCUUUGAUCUAUUGAUGACCACCUGUGGCGAAGGCGGUCUACCAGAACACGUCCGACGGUGAGGGAUGAAAGCUGGGGGAGCAAACCGGAUUAGAUACCCGAGUAGUCC